rnacentral:tRNA from 1 species
UGACUCAGUUGGUAAGAGUGUGGCGCUAGCAAAGCCAAUGUAGUGGGUUCAAUUCCUGC